UCUCCGGCGCCUUCUCUCAUUUUUCCAGUAGGGUUUCAACUUUGCAGAUCAUUUUGAUUAAAUUAUUGGGCUAUUGGUAUGAGCACGGGGUUAACCUUGUGGUAAUACUUGUUCUAGACAAGAGGUGAUAGUUCCCGUUCGGGUCAGUCAGGGAAGGCUCCGGAAGCUUGAGCUGCUAUUGCAAAAUUGUAGCGCUUCCACUCUUUUGAUUGUGUUGGAUAGAUGUAUAUUGCCAUGAUAGGGCCCAUUCCACAUACUCUGAUAUGUUUGAGAUUGAUUAUUUUGACAGUGUACUUUUGAGAACUGUUA